rnacentral:tRNA from 1 species
GGAUUGUGGCUCAGCGGUAAAAUGCUCGCCUAGCACAGGAGGGACCUGGGUUCAAUUCUCAGCACCA